rnacentral:misc_RNA from 1 species
AAAGUCGUAACAAGGUCUCCGUUGGUGAACCAGCGGAGGGAUCAUUAAAGAGUUGCAAAACUCCCUACCAUUGUGAACUUACCACUGUUGCUUCGGCGGGGGCCGUCGCGGCCGGCCUCCCCUUCAGGGGAGGCCACCCGCCGGAGUUCUAUACACUCUCUGUAAUGGCAGCUCUGAGUCUACCUUCCAAUUAUUAAAACUUUCAACAACGGAUCUCUUGGUUCUG